AAAUAGUUUUACAAGAUUUACAAUCGUUUUUUAAGCAUAAGUAAGUGGAAUUGAAUGAUUUAGAAGGGAUUUUAAAAGCUUAUAAAAGGGUAAAACAUGAUUUACAAUCGUUUUUAAAGCAUAAGUAAGUGUCAAAGAAUGAUUUACAAGGGAUUUUAAAAAGGGUUUGCAUGGUUUACAAUCGAUUUUAAAGGAUAAGUAAGUGGUAUAGAAUGAUUUACAAGUAUUUUAAAAGCUUAUAAAAGGGUAAAACAUGAUUUACAAUAGAUUUUUAAGAGUUUAAAAAAGAUUUAAAAAGAGUUUAAAACUCUUUGUAAAUCCUUUUAAAACUCUUAUAAAGUCUUUACAAGCAUUUUUUAACUCUUAGAAAAAU
rnacentral:sRNA from 1 species